rnacentral:tRNA from 1 species
AACUAAUAAAUCAAUAGAUGAUGAACUGUAAAUUCAUAUUAGAAAGCACUUUUAGCUUUGA